rnacentral:rRNA from 1 species
UCAAGAUAAGAUUUCCCACCGUAAGGGUAAGACCCCAGAAAGACUAUCUGGUUGAUAGGUCGAAGGUGUAAGUGCAGCAAUGUAUUUAGCUUAUCGAUACUAAUAGGUCGAGGACUUGACCAAUAUU